CUACGGGGUGCUCCAGUCAAGAAUAUUCCACAAUGCCCUAACGGGUGAUGGAGCGACGCCGCGUGCAGGAAGAAGCUUUUCGGAGUGUAAACUGCUUUUAUUAAGGAAGAACAAAUGACGGUACUUAAUGAAUAAGGGGCUGCUAACUCUGUGCCAGCAGCAGCGGUAAUACAGAGGCCCCAAGCGUUAUCCGGAAUUACUGGGCGUAAAGCGUCCGCAGGCUGUUUGGAAAGUGUGAUGUCAAAUCUUAGGGCUCAACUCUGAGACUGCAUCGCAAACUAUCAAACUAGAGGAUGGGAGAGGUAACUGGAAUUGUCGGUGUAGUAGUAAAAUGCGUUAAUAUCGACAGGAACACCAAAUGCGUAGGCAUGAUACUGGAACACUCCUGACGCUCAGGGACGAAAGCGUGGGUAGCGAAUGGGAUUAGAUACCCCAGUAGUC
rnacentral:rRNA from 1 species